UACGGGGGGUGCGAGCGUUGUCCGGAAUUACUGGGCGUAAAGCGCGUGUAGGCGGCAGGGCAUGUCGGAUGUGAAAUCCCGUGGCUCAACCACGGAAGUGCACCCGAAACUGCCCAGCUUGAGUCUCGGAGAGGAAGGCGGAAUGCUUGGUGUAGAGGUGAAAUUCGUAGAUAUCAAGCGGAACACCGGUGGCGAAGGCGGCCUUCUGGACGAUGACUGACGCUGAGACGCGAAAGCGUGGGGAGCAAACAGG
rnacentral:rRNA from 1 species